GGGGGCGACAUGGUUUCGACGAGGGUAUCGAAACUUGCGGUGCAUGCCGAGAGGGUUGUGACUCUCGUAAAACAAUCGCAGUAACUUUUAUAGUUGCCAACGACGAAAACUACGCACUAGCGGCCUAAAAAACCCGCUUACGUCGAUGAUCCGUUUCCUGCUAGGAGAAAUCGACGGCAAAGCAGCAGGAUCGCAGCAAGGACUUGCUCAAGGCCGAACUGUUAGAACUAAACGAGCUCGCUGACUACACCCUGACCGCCGGGUCGUAAGAGGCUAAAUCAAUAGACGGAAUCUAAGCAUGUAGAGCCAAUAGCAGAGAGCCAGCGGACGCGGGUUCAAUUCCCGCCGCCUCCACCA
rnacentral:tmRNA from 1 species